rnacentral:rRNA from 1 species
GUGCAGCAGGCGCGAAACUUCACAAUGUGCGAAAGCACGAUGAGGGAAUCCCAAGUGCUUGCACGUAAGUGUAAGCUGUUUCUCUGUCUAAAACGCAGAGAGAGUAAGGGCUGGGUAAGUCGGGUGCCAGCCGCCGCGGUAAUACCUGCAGCUCGAGUGGUGACCGUUAUUAUUGGGCCUAAAACGUCCGUAGCCGGUUUAAUAAAUGCCUGGGUAAAUCGGACCGCUUAACGGUUCGAAUUCCGGGUAGACUGUUAAACUUGAGACCGGGAGAAGCUAGAGGUACUCCUGGGGUAGAGGUGAAAUUCUGUAAUCCUAGGGGGACCACCAGUGGCGAAGGCGUCUAGCUAGAACGGGUCUGACGGUGAGGGACGAAGCCCUGGGGCGCAAACGGGGAUUAGAUACCCGUGUAGU